CUUCAAUGGAGGGAUCUCCAUAUACCUCAGUAUGUGGAGGUGAUCCUUGUCCUCAAAGAGCAACUCUGUAUAUUUAUUUCAGGAUGUCCAUGGGUGCCUCCAGAUCCAGUUGAAGCCCCAUGGGAUGUCGAAGGAGAUGAAGAAGAAAUAACUCUUCCAGCCAUGAUUGAAAGAAUGCAAUCCCAUGAGAAAAUGGUGUUCUUUAUCAGAAGUGAAGUACCACCAGUCUUUACUUCAGGAGUGCCUCUUCAAAGUAAAAAAAGUUCAAAAUAGUGAGCACCUC
rnacentral:lncRNA from 1 species